AUUGAACGCUGGCGGCAUGCCUUACACAUGCAAGUCGAACGGCAGCACGGGCGCUUGCACCUGGUGGCGAGUGGCGAACGGGUGAGUAAUACAUCGGAACAUGUCCUGUAGUGGGGGAUAGCCCGGCGAAAGCCGGAUUAAUACCGCAUACGAUCUACGGAUGAAAGCGGGGGACCUUCGGGCCUCGCGCUAUAGGGUUGGCCGAUGGCUGAUUAGCUAGUUGGUGGGGUAAAGGCCUACCAAGGCGACGAUCAGUAGCUGGUCUGAGAGGACGACCAGCCACACUGGGACUGAGACACGGCCCAGACUCCUACGGGAGGCAGCAGUGGGGAAUUUUGGACAAUGGGCGAAAGCCUGAUCCAGCAAUGCCGCGUGUGUGAAGAAGGCCUUCGGGUUGUAAAGCACUUUUGUCCGGAAAGAAAUCCUUGGCCCUAAUACGGUCGGGGGAUGACGGUACCGGAAGAAUAAGCACCGGCUAACUACGUG
rnacentral:rRNA from 1 species